UAAGUGGUGGAAAUUAAACCAACUGGGAUCUCUUCAGUAAUUGCGCAUGAACCAGGAUAUGCUUAGCUUGACAAAUGGAGCUGCUGGCUCUGAAUUGUAUUGUGGGAAUGUAUUACCAACAGAGGUGCAGGUGUCAGCCAUUUGAAAGAAAGCAUCAAUGAGGGUGAGAGUCCUGUUUGUCAUGUGCAGCCUUCUGUGCACGGUGUAUAUUUGCUGAGUCACACUCCUCGGCAUUGGAAUGCAAAGUGGGUGGUAAGUUUCAUGCAAAGGUAAAUAUGCAAUUGAGACUGAUAGCGCACAAGUACCAUGAGGGACAUAUGAAAAGGACUUUGAACAGAGAAUUAAAUGAGUUUGUAUUUGCUAAACACAAAGUAAACAGACUUGAUUUCCUCAGUGAGAUUGUAAUGCUUGCUUGACAAUGGGUUUUGGCUGCAAGUGCAAUAAUUCUUGCUUUGUGUGCCAGUUUUUAUGUGGACAUUUGAUUACCUUUGUACAUGAAUGGUAAUUUUCCUGCGGGGUGUGGAUUGCAUAUGCAUGUAAUGAUUUGCAUGUUUGUUAAAUGUGUCUGGUGUAUUUGUUUGUGUCCUUGUCCUUGAGGUUGCUUUCUCCCUUGGGCUUACAUGCCCUGGCACACACAUUCUGGCAAAAUGCUUCUGCUUGACCCG
rnacentral:rRNA from 1 species